UACGUAGGGGGCAAGCGUUAUCCGGAAUUAUUGGGCGUAAAGAGUGCGUAGGUGGUUUUGUAAGCGCGAGGUGAAAGGCUAUGGCUCAACCAUAGUAAGCCUUGCGAACUGCAAGACUUGAGUGCAGGAGAGGAAAGUGGAAUUCCUAGUGUAGCGGUGAAAUGCGUAGAUAUUAGGAGGAACACCAGUGGCGAAGGCGACUUUCUGGACUGUAACUGACACUGAGGCACGAAAGCGUGGGGAGCAAACAGG
rnacentral:rRNA from 1 species